UACGGAGGGUGCAAGCGUUAUCCGGAUUCACUGGGUUUAAAGGGUGCGUAGGUGGGCAGGUAAGUCAGUGGUGAAAUCUCAGGGCUUAACCCGGAAACUGCCAUUGAUACUAUCUGUCUUGAAUACCCUGGAGGUGAGCGGAAUAUGUCAUGUAGCGGUGAAAUGCUUAGAUAUGACAUAGAACACCAAUUGCGAAGGCAGCUUACUACACAGUUAUUGACACUGAGGCACGAAAGCGUGGGGAUCAAACAGG
rnacentral:rRNA from 1 species